AGAGUUUGAUCCUGGCUCAGGAUGAACGCUAGCUACAGGCUUAACACAUGCAAGUCGAGGGGCAGCAUUUUAGUUUGCUUGCAAACUGAAGAUGGCGACCGGCGCACGGGUGAGUAACACGUAUCCAACCUGCCGAUAACUCCGGAAUAGCCUUUCGAAAGAAAGAUUAAUACCGGAUAGUAUACGAAUAUCGCAUGAUAUUUUUAUUAAAGAAUUUCGGUUAUCGAUGGGGAUGCGUUCCAUUAGUUUGUUGGCGGGGUAACGGCCCACCAAGACUACGAUGGAUAGGGGUUCUGAGAGGAAGGUCCCCCACAUUGGAACUGAGACACGGUCCAAACUCCUACGGGAGGCAGCAGUGAGGAAUAUUGGUCAAUGGGCGAGAGCCUGAACCAGCCAAGUAGCGUGAAGGAUGACUGCCCUAUGGGUUGUAAACUUCUUUUAUAUGGGAAUAAAGUUUUCCACGUGUGGAAUUUUGUAUGUACCAUAUGAAUAAGGAUCGGCUAACUCCGUGCCAGCAGCCGCGGUAAUACGGAGGAUCCGAGCGUUAUCCGGAUUUAUUGGGUUUAAAGGGAGCGUAGGCGGACGCUUAAGUCAGUUGUGAAAGUUUGCGGCUCAACCGUAAAAUUGCAGUUGAUACUGGGUACCUUGAGUGCAGCAUAGGUAGGCGGAAUUCGUGGUGUAGCGGUGAAAUGCUUAGAUAUCACGAAGAACUCCGAUUGCGAAGGCAGCCUGCUGGACUGUAACUGACGCUGAUGCUCGAAAGUGUGGGUAUCAAACAGGAUUAGAUACCCUGGUAGUCCACACAGUAAACGAUGAAUACUCGCUGUUUGCGAUAUACAGUAAGCGGCCAAGCGAAAGCGUUAAGUAUUCCACCUGGGGAGUACGCCGGCAACGGUGAAACUCAAAGGAAUUGACGGGGGCCCGCACAAGCGGAGGAACAUGUGGUUUAAUUCGAUGAUACGCGAGGAACCUUACCCGGGCUUAAAUUGCAGAUGAAUUACGGUGAAAGCCGUAAGCCGCAAGGCAUCUGUGAAGGUGCUGCAUGGUUGUCGUCAGCUCGUGCCGUGAGGUGUCGGCUUAAGUGCCAUAACGAGCGCAACCCUUGUUGUCAGUUACUAACAGGUUCGCUGAGGACUCUGACAAGACUGCCAUCGUAAGAUGUGAGGAAGGUGGGGAUGACGUCAAAUCAGCACGGCCCUUACGUCCGGGGCUACACACGUGUUACAAUGGGGGGUACAGAAGGCAGCUACACGGCGACGUGAUGCUAAUCCCAAAAACCUCUCUCAGUUCGGAUCGAAGUCUGCAACCCGACUUCGUGAAGCUGGAUUCGCUAGUAAUCGCGCAUCAGCCACGGCGCGGUGAAUACGUUCCCGGGCCUUGUACACACCGCCCGUCAAGCCAUGAAAGCCGGGGGUACCUGAAGUACGUAACCGCAAGGAGCGUCCUAGGGUAAAACUGGUGAUUGGGGCUAAGUCGUAACAAGGUAGCCGUACCGGAAGGUGCGGCUG
rnacentral:rRNA from 1 species